rnacentral:lncRNA from 1 species
AUGUGGAUGCAAAUUUUCUCCUCUUCGAUCUUGGACGAUUUUGCACCUACAAAACAACUAGCACCUUAGGUUAAGGCCAAAAGCCUCACGCGCCCACGAUGAAUGGGGGGGGCUUUGGCCGAAGAACCUCCGAUGCCAAAGUUAGAAUUUUUAGAGAGAAAAAGUGUUUAGAGUAUUUAGCAUUUUUUGCAAGAGGAUUGGCCUUACUAUUUGGUGAAAAUAGGUCCCUAUUUAUAAGGCUAGGUAGGUUUACUUUUUAGAGAGGAAAUGUGGCCGGCCAUUCAAUAGGAAUUUUAGGUUUUAUUUGGCUAAUUAAACCUAAAAGGAAAUGUUUUGGUGGUUAUGGUAUUAAUUGGCUAAUAAAAAGGAAGAAAUGGUGAAAAAGGUAGAAAAAGGUGAUGGAUUAGGUUUUGAAUGGGGAUAGCCGGCCCUCUAGUAUUUUUAGGUUUGAAUGGGUGUUUCAAUUUGAUAAUUAAGGGAUUGAUUAGGUAAUUAAUCCCUUAAUUAGUCAAUUUUUAGGAAACAUGAAAGGAAUAUAUUAUUUAGCUAAUUGAUUAGCUAAAUAAUGAAAUAUAAAACAUAUAAGAUAAAUUAGGUUUUGGGAAUUACCUUAUAGAAAGGAUUUGAUGAAAUAGGCUUUAAAUUGUUACCUAUUUUGAGCACUUUUGACUUGGUUGAAAGAUAAUUUCCCGCUGCUUGAGCGUAGGAAUCUCGGUAUGCAUGAAGGGUAUUUUUGUCCUCUUUUGUCCAAAAGUCCACAUGUCGCCUAGUGAAUAUUUUUGGCUCCACAAAUGCCCCCACACCUGUUGGGCUGCUCGUAAGAAAGGGCAGCAGGUGUAGAGAUCUUCUUGCUUCAGGAAACGUAGGAUUGCUUCAUAUUUUGAUGUUGAUUCUCUCUUUAAUUGGAAAUUAGGUCCUUCUAGGAAAGGGAAAUAAACUUCUCUCAAAGCCUAUUUAAGUCCACCUUAAGUGGGUUAUUAAAUCAACUUUGGAGAGCAAUUUAUUCUACCCCACAAGAGAGAAAAAGUUAGAGGAUAUUUGUUCCCCCUCCUCUAGUAAUCUUCUACAUCUUGCCCGUGCAAAGGACCGUCUUUCGUUGAUUUCUUCGUCUUCUCCGUGCCGCACCGAUGUAAGAAAAAUUUAUUUUUUUCUUACCUUCUUCUUGGAUAGUGCUAUUGCGGGGCAGCUGUCGGGGUGGUGCGGCACGUCGGCUGGCAGGGGCCAGGAGUUGGCUCGGCAUGGGCCGAGGAGAUGUCGUGGCAGGGACCACUGCUUGGGCAGCUUGGCUUGGGUUGAGCUAAGGGCAGCUUGUGUGGCUGGGGUCGUGGAUUGUGGCGUUAAGGCGCAGUGCUAGGCGAGCCGUAUGGCUCAUGUCCUUUGGGCUAUUGGACCUGACUCGGGCCAGGCUGGCGAUUGAGAGAAAUGAGGAGAUUGUGGGUCUCAUAGGCUGCUGGAAUGUUGGGUUGAGCUCCCUUGCUGAGUACCAUGAAUGUCGUUGGCUGCUUAGUCCUCUUCGCUGAAAGAAAGGUAGGCUGCUCCCGAAAGAGGAGGUGAAUAGGAUCAAGGCGGAUGCAUUGGCUCGUCCAAUCACUAUUGUGGAUCUUGCUGCAAGUGUAGGUGGGAAAAGGGAUAUUGCCUGCCUGCACAAGAGAUGUCGGCUAAGAAAAAAAAAACCAAAGACUUCUUUCGCUCGCGCGGGUUUGCCGACUGCCUCCAAGCUUGUGAUUGACUUGACUUUUUCCAAGGGGACGAAAAAUGAGGCUGCUAGAUCUGAGCAUGUGGUGCUUGCCAUGUCAAGAAUGGCUAGUACAAUUGCUGAUAGGAUUGUUCGGCAUAAAGGUCAUGUCAUGCCCCUAGUGCUGAAUUUUGUACCAAGACGUCUGUUGGGAGCAAAGUCCGGUUCACCUUUGGAGAGGCUUGCUAUUAUGAAGAGCGAUAAGGUGGACUCUGGUGCUAAAGUGGCGCCAAGGCCUAUUCCUUAUGCUGCUGAGACUGAUUCGCCUGCUGGGAAUGAGGAGACUGCUCGCGUAGGCAGUUGUGAAAAAUCCACUAAGCCUGCUUCUGGGGAAGUUGCUGAGAUCUAUGUUCUUUUGAAACCAGAUCUCUUGAAAACAUGGACGCUUGUGCCAAGUUUGUUGAUGGCAUCAGAAAGGUGUUUGCCCAAGCUCGUUUGCGAAGCAUACGACCCAAUUAUAGAAUGACUGCUAUGCUUGCUAUGAUGCAGAUAUAGCAAGGCUGCUAAGGAGAAGACAAAUACUAUGGUAGAUUCUGAGCUCGUUGCUUUGAAGGGAGUGGAUGAGCUGCAGCGCGUCCGUGUUAGUCUGUUUAAGAAGAAUGAGCAGCUGAAGGGUGAGAAGGAUAGGUUUCAGGUUUUAAGACAUUCUCUAUUUCUCCGGAAGACUUGCUUGCUUUUACUUUUAAGGCUUCCAUUGAUGAAGUAGUUGGAGAAGUUAGUGCCCAGGUUGGGGUAGCUGGGGAUGAAGCGCCGGAUGAUGCCGCUGCUAAGAGCGUUACGGCUGUUGAAGGUGUGGCGACCGAGUAGUUGUGGGAUGUCCAAGCUGCUGAAGUGUAGUCAUCUAGGUAGCCUUUAAGAUUUUCUUUGUUUUUCCUUGUAGCUCUUGUUUUGCUUAAACUCCUUCGACCUUUGCUAGUUGUUUAUAAACAUGUUUUCCUUAGCUUUUCUUCAUUUUUGCUUCUUUUGUUCAUGCCCUAACCUUUAGACUUGAUGGACCAGUGGCAAGCAUGCUACUUUUUUUAUAAGCAGACAAGCUCGCGUAGCCUAUGCAGUUGUAGGUGUUAGUGUAGAACUUUGCAAAGUUGUUAGCCAUUGGGUUGGCAGCCGGAUGCCUUACUUACAUAAGCAAACAAGUCUGCGUAACCACUAGGCUGUUAACCUUGACUUUCUCCAAUUCCGUAGGUUGCGUAGCAAGUAUCACAACACUUUAGGACUUGGUGUAGGUUGUUUCGCGCUUGGCAAAGGUGAAGCUUAUCAACUACGUAGCAUGUCGGCAGUGGAUAAAACUUCGUAUAUGCGUGCUAGCUUGUUUAACCUUUCACAAAAAUGUGCAGUUGUAUAAGUCUAGUGCGGCUUUACUGCUCGAAGGGCAAGCUGUAGGCAGUCUUCCGGAAUCCGUAGGCUACCUUAGUGCACUCGGUAGCAGCUUUAGGAUUCCAGGGCAACCGUCCAUCGGAUGUACUGCGUAAUGUGCCCUCUCCGUCUCUAGGGCCCGGUUCCCCACGGAUUAGGCCAAGAGACCUAAAAUCCUUCAGUUAGCUAAGCCUUGAAAAAGACCAUUGCGGUUACUUCUAGGAAUCCCGGCGCAAGCCAUCGUGCAUCUAGUUAUACUAAGGCAGCCCGGCUCAUCCACGUCUGGAUAUUCGGAGUGUAGAGUUUAUCCUCCUGUUCAUGGAGAGCUGACCCAUAUGGGUGUCGGGGAAUUGGUUUACCCUCUCGCGUUGGAGAGCAAUUAGUUUACCCUCUUGCACUGGAGAGCAUGGUUGGUCCCUCGGGGGGCGCAAUUCCUAUGGUAAGUCCCUAAGAAGGGCGCGAUCUUGAAGUUCAAGAAUGAUCAGUUGUUGUAAGCAUGCAGCCAAGCCAAGUCGUGAUUACUUCUGAAUUCCUCAUUGAAAAACGAGUUAAACGAACGAGAACUUAGAUGUAAGGUAAGAACUGCAUAACAACUGGAUAAUCCUCGACUGAUGAGAUAGUGCCCGUCGAGCUGCUUGAGUCUACGGGCUUUGAUGUAGCAAGAGGUCACACAUGGUACUUCCUCAGAUUGUAGGCGUUCCACUGUUUUUCGAUCUUUUUGUCAUUUUAUGGUGGCGAGGGUGUAAUUGUUCUUGCCACUUACUCUACUAAUCUUGUACGGACUUUCCCAGAUGGGAUCCAUAUUUUUGGAGCCUUUCUGCUGGCAGUGAUAAAGGUUUUUCUUAUGACCAGAUCUCCGGGCUGGAACUGCCGGAUCUUGGCCCUUUCGUUGUAGCUGGAGAGGAGCUGAUGCUGGUAGGCUGCAAUGUGAGUGAUAGUAUGUUCGCGCCUCUCUUCUGCCAAAUCUAAGCUUGUGGCCAUCUCUUUUUGGUUGCUCGUCUUUUAGUUGUGCGAUAUGCCUAUAGACAUCCUUGGAGUUCGUCUGGCCGUUUUCUUUUCUUAUUGGUGGGGGAUUUCUUGUGGCAGUUGAGGAUCAUCUUAGUGGAUGCUUUGGCUCGCCUAUUGCCUUGAGGAUAUCUUGGCGUAGACAUGUGCUGCUUGAUGCCAUAUUUUUUGAAGAACUUCGCCAAAUCUUUGCCCACGAAUUGCGGGCUGUUGUCGGUGAUGAUGGAUUAAGGGAUGCCAAAUCGGCAAAUGGUACUCCUUCAUAUGAAGCGCUCUAUGUCCGUCUAAACCAUGAUCGUCAUGGGCUCUGCUUCUACUUAUUUGGUGAAGUAGUCGGUUGCCACGAUCAUCAUGUUUUUGCCCCUGGUAGUCUGGCUGGUGAUUAGCUAGGACUCGGAAUGAAUGGAAAGCUUUUUCACCACCAAGUCUUUUGUCAUUCGAAGGCUUGCUAGUGGGGCUUCGUACUCUGCUUCGUUGUUAGAUGUUUUGAAGCUUAGAGUGAUCGCCUGUUUAAGCAUUGAAACGUCUGGGGUGGCAAGAACCACGGCUGCUCACGAUCCUUCGUAGUUGGAUGCGUCGUCGACAUGUAAACGCCAGAAAUCUCCAUUGAGGGAGCAGGUGUGGCUAAAGUGUGCUCGGCUGCCUUUGGGGCGUCGUUGGACCGAGUUAUUGCGUUCAUCAGAAAACUUUGCAUCUGCUAGGGUCUACGCCUUUAUCGUCGCCAGUUUGGAUUCAGCGGAAUAGUGCGUCAUGAUGAUGACUACUUGCGUUUGAAGGUAAAACUUAAGCUUUUGGGUUACAACAAUUAUCGCCAAAGUUAACUUUUGAAUUUUUAAUAGCAUCGAUGAGAGCUUUUGAACUGUAGAAUACAGGUAGUCGGGCCCCCAACUCUUCUCGCAUGAUGGUAGAGCUUAUUGUUACUUUAGAUACGUCAAACAUGCGAAUAAGUCAUCCGCUGCUUCUAGGGAGGUGAUGUCGGGUACUUCUUCAAGUCCUUGAAUGUGCAUUGGCGAGCCUCAUCCCAAAGUGCAUGCUUCUCUGCCAAAGCAAAAGAGUCUGCCAGAGUUAGAUCUUCUUUCAUGAUCAAUUUUUCGAAUAGCGGGUGGUCUGCUGGAAGUCCUUUUUGGAAGGCUGCUCUAGCUAUCGAGUCGUUGCAUCUGACUAUUUUUUCCUUUUCUACUUUGAACCUCCUCACAUAGUCGCGAAGCGACUCCUUUGGGUUCUUCUUGAUGUUAAACAAUUGGUCAAACUUCUUUUUGAUCGAACGAUAAGAUGAAUAUUCUUUGGUGAAAACCAAAGAAAGUUCGUAGAAAUUCCGGAUGGAUUGUGGCAGCAGGGUGUAGAACCAAUCUUGUGUCUCGCCUUGUAGAGUGGUGGCGAAUAUCUUGCACAUGAGAUCAUCGUUGUUUCGAUAAAGGAUCAUUACGGUUCGGUAGCGCUUUAAGUGUCUCUCCAGGUCUUCAUCCCCUUUGAAAGAUGUGAAAUGUGGCAUGCUGAACUCGCGUGAAGGCUCUGCUUGCUCGAUCUCGUCCGUGAAGGGUGACCUACUUAUGUUGGUCAUGUUUCGUUGUAGUGCCUUAUCGGUGACCUCGUUGCGUUGGAAAUCAUGCAAUCGCUUGGUCAAUAGUCUCUUUACUUCUUUCUGAAUUUGCCUUUGUUGGGAUAGCGGAGCUCUCGGCUGCCCCCACCCAUGACUUGCUGGUCUAGGCUGCUCUUCCAUGUGUUUGGCUCGUUUAUGUCGCAAAUGCAGUGCAUGUGGUGUGUUCCUAGCAGGCGAGCGGGUUUUUCGCAGGCUGCUGGUUGAACUUGAGUAGGAUUGAGUGACUGCUUCUCUCCGUCCGUCGUGCUACCUACUCUGAUGUGAGGUGGAUGAUGCUCCUUGUGGGCUUAGCCGCGAAUGGACACUUUGCCCGGAAGGUUGCUCAUGUUGACUAUCGGAGUAUGACCCCAACUGUGAAUGUAUGCUCAUCUGUGACCCUAGUCGGGAGUGCAUGCUCCUCCGCGUGCUAAGAUGGGAAUGUACACUGCCCAAACGUUCGGCUCGUGGCUGGUCGAGUGGCUGCUUGCUGGGACGCUGCUGGAAAGGUCUGUCUGCCCUUGUCCUACUUCGGGAUACCUCGUCCGGGGUACAUUGGAUCCCAAUGCAUUGCAAAAGUUGAUUCACCAAGGUUGUCUGUUGUGCAAGGGCACUCGUCAACUCUAUGACUUGUCGAGACAAGUGUUGUUCGCCAUUUGGAUUGGAAGAGCUUGGAAUGAAUGCGCCUCUUUGGGCAAUGGAAGGGUGGUAGACUCCGGGCGCAAGAUUUGAGUUGAGAAAUGUCAAAUCUGUGAAAAAAUGUGGUGAGAAUGCCCCCGACUCGAUGGUAGGUCCGUAUGGUUGAGAUAGUCUUGGGCCGACUUGGGCUGCUUGGAAAGCCACAAGAGCAGGCUGGGCCGUGAGAGUGGGCUACUCGACUGGAGUUGGCUGGGCCACGGGAGUGGGCUGCUCGACUGGAGCUGGCUGGACCACGGGAGUGGGCUGCUCGUCAGGAGCCGGCUGGGUCACGAGAGCAGGCUGUUUGGGAGGAGCAGGUUGGGCCACGAGUGUGGGCUGCUCGUCGGGAGCAGGCUGGGUCACAAGAGCAGGCUGGGCCGCGAAAGCAGGUUGCUUGCCGGGAGCACGCAGGGCCACGGGAGUGGGCUGCUCGUCGGGAGCAAGCUGGGUCACGACAGCAGGCUGCUUGGCAGGAGCAGGCUGGGCCACGAAAGUAGGUUGCUUGGCGGGAGUAGGCUGGGCCGUGAGAGCAGGUUGCUUGGCGGGAGCAGGCUGCUUAGAAUGUGAUGCAAGGGAAUGCGAGGCUUGGGUCCAGGCCCAUGCAAACUUGGAUGGCACGACUUGGGCCGUGGCCUUGGUGUAGUGAGCCUUGGAUGGCACGGCUCGAGCCGUGGUGAAGGCACCAUGGACCUCGCCACGGGUGGCUACCGAGGUAGCCACCGUGGUGGUUCCCAUGGUGGAAACUCGUGGUGGUGGUGCUGCUCCACUUAUUGUCGCAUUUAGCCUCACGGAUCUCGGCAAUCCCAUUUCUUGAACAUUAGAAAUUUCACUUGUGGAAUUUUCUAAAUUUCUAGCCAUUAUAUUUUGCUUAUACGUUUUAUCAAAGAACCUUUGCAAGUAAAAAAUUCUAAUAAUAAGAACGUAUGAAAAAUAUUCAAAUGGACUAGAAAAUAAAGAAAAAACCUUUUUGUGCGAGAGUCUUCUACGAGUAUGGAUUUCAACUCUCAAUGAAAGCACCAAUUUGUGGAUGCAAAUUUUCUCCUUCGAUCUUGGACGAUUUUGCACCUACAAAACAACUAGCACCUUAGGUUAAGGCCAAAAGCCUCACGCGCCCAUGAUGAAUGGGGGGGGGGCUUUGGCCGAAGAACCUCCGAUGCCAAAGUUAGAAUUUUUAGAGAGAAAAAGUGUUUAGAGUGUUUAGCAUUUUUUGCAAGAGGAUUGACCUUACCAUUUGGUGAAAAUAGGUCCCUAUUUAUAGGGCUAGGUAGGUUUACUUUUUAGAGAGGAAAUGUGGCCGACCAUUCAAUAGGAAUUUUAGGUUUUAUUUGGCUAAUUAAACCUAAAAGGAAAUGUUUUGGUGCUUAUGGUAUUAAUUGGCUAAUAAAAAGGAAGAAAUUGUGAAAAAUGUAGAAAAAGGUGAUGGAUUAGGUUUUGAAUGGGGAUAGCCGGCCCUCUAGUAUUUUUAGGUUUGAAUGGGUGUUUCAAUUUGAUAAUUAAGGGAUUGAUUGGGUAAUUAAUCCCUUAAUUAGUCAAUUUUUAGGAAACAUGAAAGGAAUAUAUUAUUUAGCUAAUUGAUUAGCUAAAUAAUGGAAUAUAAAACAUAUAAAAUAAAUUAGGUUUUGGGAAUUACCUUAUAGAAAGGAUUUGAUGAAAUAGGCUUUAAAUUGUUACCUAUUUUGAGCACUUUUGACUUGGUUGAAAGAUAAUUUCCCGCUGCUUGCAUGUAGGAAUCCCGGUAUGCCUGAAGGGUAUUUUUGUCCUCUUUUGUCCAAAAGUCCACGUGUCGCCUAGUGAAUAUUUUUGGCUCCACAGUAUCAGUAUCAGUAUCUCUCGACCCGAAGCCAGUAAUAUAUAUCUUCUGCUAACCAUAUAUCUCCCUCAGCCUUAUUUGUCCCUCGCCCGUAGGCAGAACAGUGACCAUUAGUUACGCACAAAACCAUUGAGCAUAAUCUUUCUAAACACAGGUACAUAUAUUUCAAAAACAUCUUCAUAGUAUAAAGUGUUACACCUCACCCCUACUUAUAUGUAUAAUUCCGUAAUUUUCCCCAAAGUUUAAUGGAAUUAUCAUUUUGGUCCCCUAUCUUGACUAAAUCUAGAUAGAGGGUCCAUAUUU